GUCUUACCCUGGGAGAACGGAUUCUCUGCAGCGCCGUCUAGGGGAACGUAGGCCUGGCUCUGCACUGUGUUCCUUCCCGGUGUGCCCGAGCCUGCAGAGCACUGGGGACAUUUGGUAGUGUGAGCUUCUCCGGGGGAAGUGGGAAAAAUCAAGGCCGAGGAGAGGGCCUUAGGGAGUCUCCAUUCUUAUGUUCCUACCAUCUUUGGAUCCUGGACGAUGAACCUCCAGUAAAGGCUGUGGCCUAGGCUCUCCCUUUGGUCCUGCCGCUUCUGCCUGUAUGGGAUGCUGGUGCUUUCCCAUGUGGCCCUGCAUGGUGUGGCAUGCCUCCUCCUUCUAGUACCUGUUAUCUCAUGCUCCUUCCUCACUGGAAUUUUGCCUGACAUCCCCAAACAUCUAAAUGCUUUAUCAUCCAGAACGUAUACGCCCGGGCUGCUCCAGAUGUAAACUGUCUUGUGGAAAUACCUCGGAGUUUGAAAAUGUCAAUACAGGUCUUCUGGCUGGUCCAAGAUUUAAAGUGACAUGAAACAGAUUAACAGGAGAAGAUCAAACAAAGAGCACCAUGAAGAAUAUGUCAACUUUAAUCAGCAGGUGAAUCGUCCAGGUUGUUGGAUUCUGAAGUGAGGGCUUUGAAUAGCUGUGGAGCAACGUGAAGACACUGAGGCAGAUGCCCUGGUAAGAAACCCACUGCUAGAGAAGAAAGCGAAAGCCCCUUCCAUGUGUCGUCUUCUGGCACACUGCAGAACAAGCACCGUGGCAUAAAUCACUCCAAAUUCAUCAGCUCUGGCGCACCAUCAAAGAAGAAGAAAGACUUCUAAUGGGGACCUUGUGGACUCCCUCUUGCAAGACCACUGGAAUCACAACUAACUGCUGAACAAUCAUUGACAAGAAGACACUGGAACUCACCAAAAAAGAUACCCCACAUCCAAAGACAAAGGAGAAGUUGCAGUGAGAUGAUAGGAGGGGUGAAAUCACAAUAAAAUCAAAUCCCAUAACUGCUGGGAGUGUGACUCACAAACUGGAGAACAUUUAUACCACAGAAGUCCACCCACUGGAGUGAAGGCUCUGAGCCCCACGUCAGGCUUCCCAACUUGGGGGUCCGGCAACAGGAGGAGGAAUUCCCAGAGACUCAGACUUUGAAGCCUAGUGGGAUUUGAUUGCAGGACUUCGACAGGACUGGGGAAAACAGAGACUCCACUCUUGGAGGGCACACACAAAAUAGUGUGCGCAUUGGGACCCACGGGAAGGAGCAGUGACCCCAUAGGAGACUGAAGCAGACCUACCUGCUAGUGUUGGAGGGUCUCCUGCAGAGGUGGGAGGCAGCUGUGACUCACCAUGAGGACAAGGACACUGGCAGCAGUUCUGGGAAGUACUCCUUGGCUUGAGCCCUCCCAGAGUACGCCAUUAGCCCCACCAAAGAGCCUGGGUAGGCUCCAGUGUUGGGUUGCCUCAGGCCAAACAACCAACAGGGAGGGAACUCAGCCCCACCCAUCAGCAGACAAGCAGAUUAAAGUUUUACUGAGUUCUGCCCACCAGACUGCCAUAUAUACACUAAUAUGUAUAAAAUAGAUAACUAAUAAGAACCUGCUGUAUAAAAAAUAUAAAUGAAAAUAACAACAACAAAGGAACUUGUGUACAUUGGUCUCACCCAGAUAAUCCGGGACAAUCUCUUUAUCUUAAGGUUGGCUGAAUAGCAAACUUAAUUCCAUCUGCAACCUUGAUUCUCCCUUGCCAUUGAACAUACUGUAUUCACAAGCUCUGGGUAUUAGGAUAUGGGCAUCUUUAGGGCCACUAUUCUGACCACCACAACAGUACAGUGAGUAGAACCUCAUGGGUGUCCAAUAAAGACCUGAUACAUUGAAGUUCCCUUUUAACUCUGACUGUCUGUGAAGUUAAAAAAUAUGUAUAAUAUGAAACAAUGCAACACACACAAAAAAAAUCUGACCUUUAAAUACAGAUUCAACUUUGAGCCAGAUGCCCAUUUAACCUUUGGGAAAUUGACGUUUGACGCUAAGUACAGGACUUGGCAUUUGACUGUCUUAUAGUUUUGAACACAGGUAUCAGUAUCAAAGAAUCUUCUUUAAAUGCUUUGCUUCAGUUGACAAUUUGGUGAGCAUGCUUUGUUGCCAAUACUCAAAUCAACGAUGAAAAUAUUGAGCAGGCCAGGCCUCACGUCGAAGUCUUGAAGAGUUCUCCUGGAGGCUUUUCUUGGCCCUGAAACUGAUCAUUCAUCAAUACUUGCAUCUGACCUGAGAGAUAGAAGGAGAGGGGGAAGAGAGAAAGACAAGAGGAGAGAGAGAAUGACUAAGAACAAGCUGCACUUCUGAGAAUAUGACACAAAGCAGAUGUUUUUUCUGGGGAUUGGUGUCUUGGAAAAAAAAUGGAGUUAUAAUAAGGCCACUUUUUAAUAAAUAUUUGCUAUUAUUAUUAUUCUA